rnacentral:tRNA from 1 species
CUGGGAGUAUAGCUCAGUGGUAGAGCAUGUGCUUAGCAUGUGUGAGGUCCUGGGUUCAGCCCCCAGCACCAAGG